AUGGAUGUCUACUUGCCGGGCUGCCCACCUAAACCGGUGGCAGUUAUAGAUGCCCUAACAAAACUUCGUAAGAAGAUAUCGCGAGAAAUAGUUGAGGAUCGAACUCUGUCUCAAAAUAAAAAUAAAUGUUUUACUACCAGUCACAAGCUUUAUGUUAGGCGCAGUACUCAUACAGGAACUUAUGAGCAAGAAUUGCUCUAUCAAUCACCAUCUACAUUAGAUAUAUCUUCUGAAACUUUUUUCAAAUCCAAAAGUUCAGUACCUUCCUACAAAUUAGUGAAUUAG
rnacentral:rRNA from 1 species